CCUACGGGAGACAGCAGUGAGGAAUAUUGGUCAAUGGACGAGAGUCUGAACCAGCCAAGUAGCGUGAAGGAUGACUGCCCUAUGGGUUGUAAACUUCUUUUAUAUGGGAAUAAAACGUUCCACGUGUGGGAUUUUGUAUGUACCAUAUGAAUAAGGAUCGGCUAACUCCGUGCCAGCAGCCGCGGUAAUACGGAGGGUCCGGGGGGUAUCCGGAUUUAUUGGGGUUAAAGGGAGCGUAGGUGGAUUGUUAAGUCAGUUGUGAAAGUUUGGGGCUCAACCGUAAAAUUGCAGUUGAAACUGGCAGUCUUGAGUGCAGUAGAGGUGGGCGGAAUGCGUGGUGUAGCGGUGAAAUGCUUAGAUAUCACGAAGAACUCCGAUUGCGAAGGCAACUCACUGGACUGCAACUGACACUGAGGCUCGAAAGUGUGGGUAUCGAACAGGAUUAGAUACCCCAGUAGUC
rnacentral:rRNA from 1 species